rnacentral:rRNA from 1 species
CGAUGCAACGCGAAGAACCUUACCUGGUCUUGACAUCCACGGAAGUUUUCAGAGAUGAGAAUGUGCCCUCGGGAACCGUGAGACAGGUGCUGCAUGGCUGUCGUCAGCUCGUGUUGUGAAAUGUUGGGUUAAGUCCCGCAACGAGCGCAACCCUUAUCCUUUGUUGCCAGCGGUCCGGCCGGGAACUCAAAGGAGACUGCCAGUGAUAAACUGGAGGAAGGUGGGGAUGACGUCAAGUCAUCAUGGCCCUUACGACCAGGGCUACACACGUGCUACAAUGGCGCAUACAAAGAGAAGCGACCUCGCGAGAGCAAGCGGACCUCAUAAAGUGCGUCGUAGUCCGGAUUGGAGUCUGCAACUCGACUCCAUGAAGUCGGAAUCGCUAGUAAUCGUGGAUCAGAAUGCCACGGUGAAUACGUUCCCGGGCCUUGUACACACCGCCCGUCACACCAUGGGAGUGGGUUGCAAAAGAAGUAGGUAGCUUAACCUUCGGGAGGGCGCUUACCACUUUGUGAUUCAUGACUGGGGUGAAGUCGUAACAAGGUAACCGUAGGGGAACCUGCGGCUGGAUCACCUC